rnacentral:rRNA from 1 species
UACGAAGGGGGCUAGCGUUGCUCGGAAUCACUGGGCGUAAAGCGCACGUAGGCGGAUUGCUAAGUCAGGGGUGAAAUCCUGGAGCUCAACUCCAGAACUGCCUUUGAUACUGAAGAUCUUGAGUCCGGGAGAGGUGAGUGGAACUGCGAGUGUAGAGGUGAAAUUCGUAGAUAUUCGCAAGAACACCAGUGGCGAAGGCGGCUCACUGGCCCGGUACUGACGCUGAGGCACGAAAGCGUGGGGGAGCAAACAGG